GCUGGAGGACCAAGAAGGCAGAGUCUGAUGAAGCAAGACUUUGCUGAUACACUCCUCCUAGACAAAGGGGUGGAGAGAGCAGCCCUCAUCGGAGAAAAACCAUAGGACUGACUGUCCUACCCAACAUUC